rnacentral:tRNA from 1 species
GGGCCUAUAGCUCAGUCGGUUAGAGCGCUUCCCUGAUAAGGAAGAGGUCGCUAGUUCGAGUCUAGCUAGGCCCA